GACUAGCUAGGAAUAAGGUCUCCGACUAAACUUCAUCUUAGAGUUUUCAAAAUAUAAAUUGCGACAACGUUUACAUUCUUCUAAAAUUGCACUGAAUUUUGAAACAUCAUUGCUACCUCUAUCGAAUAAUCUACAAUUUACUUCAAAUAAGUUUUUGCUUCUUAUGAAUAUACAAUUUUUCAUUUUUAGUCCCUCUAAAGUUUUUCUUCAAAUAAUUAUCCCAAAAUAUUUUUCCUUAGUAAAUUUGUUUCUUGCUGUUAAAUUUUAAUAGCUUCAUUAGUAAAUUAUCAGUUGUUUUUCUUCAUGUGUCUUUCAUAUGAUUUUUAGCUUGAAAUAUAAAAAUUUUAGUUAUCGUGAGCUUGGCUCAGUUGGUAGGGAUAUUGCAUAUUAUAUGCAAGGGCCAGGGUUCGAACUCUGGACACUUCUCCACAAUUUAAUUGUGUGAGCUAUAGCCACUAGGCUACUUGACAAAAAAAAAAAAAAAAAACUUUGACAAAAUGAUGAAUUUGAAAAAUCAUGGACAAUUUAGUUAAAAGCAUAUGAAAAGCAUCUAAGUUUUGUCCUUAAAAUCUCCUAAAAAAAUGUUCGUAAAAAUAAUGAUAAAAAUGGAGUUGCAAGGUAUCGAUCCCCAUACCUCUCACAUGCUAAGCGAGCGCUCUACCAUCUAAGCUACAUCCCCAUUUAGUUUUAAAUUUAUUCUUUAAAAAUAAGAAUUGAGCCUGGCAGAAGGAGUUAGACUCCCACGACGAUGACCCAAUGUUUUAUUCUCGGGUGAGAGAUGUGUUAUACUUAAUGUCUGACGGUGCCUCAUGUAAGAUUACUAUCAGUUAAGGGAAAUUAUAGAAAUUAAAAAAAGGUUAUAUAAAUUCAGCUCGAAUCUCACAAGAUUUGGAUUUAAAUUUUGUUGCCGAUGAAAAAAAAAUGUCAUUUUAGAUAUUAUAUAAAUACUCCUUCCGUUUCUAAAUAUAAGCAAAUUUUGUUGCCACAACAACAACAACAUGCCUUUCAAAAAACAUGUCUUUAUUUUAAUUCAUCGUGUUUAUUCCUUUUUCUUUGUGAAACGUGUUUGUCCUUUUUGCCUACUCAUAUUUGUCUCGUGCUAAUAUCUUUUUUAAGAUUAAUUUUAUGGUGUACAAAUGAGACAAAUCUUUUAUCAUAUACAAAUUAAUAUUUAUCAUUUGAUCAAUAAAUUAAAUGAAAUAUAAUGUAAUAUUUUUUAUCUAAAGGUAUAUUACAAGAUCAUUUUAUUUGUGCAUCUUAAACAAAACCUUUUUAACAACAUGUCUCUAUUUUGAUGUGUCAUGGUUGUCCUUUUUGCCGACUUUUGUUUGUCUCAUGCUUAUAACACACAUCCUUGAUAAUAAUCUUACAUUAAAAAUAUUGGUGUUGAUCAUAGUUCAUUUUCUUAGGUAUUUUCUGAAAAAACUAGUUUUAGAAGAACCUAUGAGACAAUAAAAAAUAUACAAAGAAAUAUAGAUAAUGAUAUAAACACCAAAACAAUAUAGAGAGUAAGAACAUAAUGAGAGUGAUAGGGUACUUAGAAUAAUGAGUACUAAUGUGGUGACUCAGCUAGUUCUAGAAAAUAUUAUGACUCAUCUUAAUUUAGAAGGAUCUAGAAAUUAUCUUGUUAGGGGAUAAUAUUGAGUAUGUUAUGGUGCACUUAUCUUAUUAUGAGUACACAUAAGUCUAUAUAAGCAUUGUAUGCCUUAUUAUGAGAAUCAAUGAAAAAUAUAAUGAAUUUUCUUUCUCUUUUCUCUAGUUUCUCUCUCUAAUUUCUGGAGUGUGAUCCCUACUCAAGUUGGAUCGUAUCAUUUGGUGCUUUCUUUUUUGUUCUCAUUCCCGCCGCAUGGCAAUUUCAUUAUUUUUCGGUGAUUCAGAUGGUUAUUGGUGGAUUCUCUGCACCGAGGACCAUUUCAGGGUGAAUGGAGUCCCAAACCAAGCUCAACUUUCGGCGGCAGUGAGUGCUUUCUUAACCGUGAAAUUAUCGUGAUAUAAAAAAAAAUGUAUACUUACUACAUUUGCUUUCUUAACCGCUGCUCUCACAACCCAAACUGUGAUACAGACGCAAAUGUGUACUCCUCAGAUCGCUCAAGUUUUUGUGCCUUCAACACCAAAGCAGAAAGUGCAGCAUGCUCAACCAGAAAAAUCCGCCCCUCAAAAUCCAAAAUUCAAUCGUUUAGACCCAUUUUUCAUUUUUUUUAAUUUUUCAUAUUCUCAUAAAAAUUCGAAAAAAUUUCCAUUAGUUUUACUUGAUUUUUAGAAUUUUUUUGUGCUAUUUUUAUGAUUUUAUUUGACAGAUUUUUAGCAUUUUUUACUUCGUUUUUUUGUUGUUUUUAAAAGCAAAACUCAAAACUGCUGAAAUGUGAGAGAGUAUGAUGGCUGAUUAUACAUAAAAAUUGUCCGGAUUAUAAAAUCUGAAAUAGUAAACAUGAAUCCGGAUAUUAACAUCCGGAAUACACAAGGACAUUUUUGAAAAUUUUAUAGGACGCGGGAGAAGACCAUAAGGUGGAAAAAGUAAUAGUCUUGUUUGGUCUUAACUAAAGACCAAUAGAUGUUGGUUUCAUUUGUUUUGUAUGUCCAAGUGUUACAUGAUGAUGGAUACAAAUUGGAUGCUACAAUAGAUAAUACUAAAAUUGAAGAACAAAAAUAUUGAUAGCUUCUUUUAUAAUUAUCAUAUUUCUUCCGUUAGUCAUUGAUGUGAUUAAGCUAUAAAGAUUUAACAAUAAUGAUAAAAAUGGAGAUGUGGGUUACCAAUCCUCUCGUACCUCUUGCAUAUUAAACGAGCGCUCCACCAUUUAAGCUACAUCUCUACAUAGUUUAAAUUUUUAAACAAAGAUUGAGUCUAGAGGAAACAAAAUGGUGAGUCAAUGUUUGAUUCUCGACUGAUAAAGGUGGUGCCACAUUGUUUCUCCACGUCCACAUGAACCAAUAUUGUUCAAAAGAAAGAUUUGUGUUCAAAUCAACGACUUCAUCGAAAUUUCUCAAUGAAAGAGACAAUCUACAUAGGUUGGAAUAAACCCCCUGAAGGUUGGAUUAAACUCAAUAGUGAUGGUGCUUGCAAAGGAAGUGGAGAUUAUUCAGGUUGUGGUGGCCUCUUUCGCGACACUGAAGGGGGAUGGCUAAGAGGCUACAUUCGAAAGAUUGGAGUUUGUGAUGCACUUCAUGCUAAAAUGUGGGGCAUGUAUCUUGGUUUGGAGAUAGUUUGGCGAGAGCACAUUCCGCAACUCAUUGUUAAAAGUAAUUCUAAAAUCUUGAUUGACAUGGUUACAGAAAACUACAAGUUUAGUGGCUCAGUUCCCAUAUUUGUGCAACGCAUUCGAAAACUCAUGGCUUUGGAUUGGCGAGUCCAAUUUUGUCAUACUUGAAGGGAGGGUAAUCGAUGUGCUGAUUGGUUGGCUAACUUUAGCUUUUCUCUAGACUCUUUUAAUUGUAUCAUAAUGGAGAAUCCGUCCAGUGAGCUCCCUAGACUUCUUUUUCAUGACAUCUCUGACGCUUCUAUGCCUAUGAAUGUUCGGCUAACUUAUUAGCUUUCUUUUGGGCCUUUGGCCCUCUUUUGUACAAAAAAAAAAAAAAAGAGGUGAUGCUACAUUUAAUGUUCGACAAUAUCUCAAGUAAGACUACCUUCAUUGAAGGAAACCUAUAGAAAACAAAACCAAAAAUAUGAUAAGAAUUUAAUUCAUAUCCUACGAGAACUGAAUUUGAAUGUCAUUGUCGAUGCAAAAAUGUCAUUGUUGGAUAUUUGUAAAUAUAUUUUUCAUUUCUUUGAACUAUGAAUAGUGAUGACUAAAAAAAAUCAAUAAAUAGCGAGUAAUAAACCCUCUUCAAGCAAAUCUAUGGCAAAAUUACACACUUCGAUAAGUUUUUUAUUUUUUUUAAGGAAAAUAGCUUAUAGUUUGUCAUUAUUAAUCAUUGUCGAAAUACAAAGAUGUAUAAUAUUAAAGAUAUGGGGACUAGCUAGGAAUAAGGUCUCCGACUAAACUUCAUCUUAGAAUUUUCAAAAUAUAAAUUGCAACAACGUUUACAUUCUUCUAAAAUUGUACUGAAUUCUGAAACAUCAUUGCUACCUCUAUCGAAAUAAUCUACAGUUUACUUCAAAUAAGUUUUUGCUUCUUAUGAAUAUACAAUUUUUCAUUUUUAAUCCCUCUAAAGUUUUUCUUCAAAUAAUUAUCCCAAAAUAUUUUUCAUUAGUGAAUUUGUUUCUUGUUGUUAAAUUUUAAUAGCUUCAUUAGUAAAUUAUCAGUUGUUUUUCUUCAUGUGUCUUUCAUAUGAUUUUUAACUUAAAAUAUAUAAAUUUUAUUUAUCGUGAGCUUAACUCAUUUGGUAGGGAUAUUGCAUAUUAUAUGCAGGGGCCUGAGUUCGAACCCUGGACACUCCACUUCUCCAUAAUUUAAUUGUGUGAGCUCUAGCCACUCGGCUACUUGACCAAAAAAAAAAAACUUUGGCAAAAUGAUGAAUUUGAAAAAUCAUAGAUAGUUUAGUUAAAAGCAUAUGAAUAGCAUCUAAGUUUUGUCCUUAAAAUCUCCUAAAAAAAUGUUCGUAAAAAUAAUGAUAAAAAUGGAGAUGUGGGGUAUCAAUCCCCGUCCCUCUCACAUGCUAAGCGAGCACUAUACCAUCUGAGCUACAUCCCCAUUUAGUUUUAAAUUUAUUCUUUAAAAAUAAGAAUUGAGCCUGGCAGAAGGAGUUAGACUCCCACGACGAUGAACCAAUGUUUUAUUCUCGGGUGAGAGAUGUGUUAUACUUAAUGUAUGACGGUGCCUCAUGUAAGAUUACUAUCGGUUAAGGGAAAUUAUAGAAAUUAAAAAAAGGUUAUAUAAAUUUAACUCGAAUCUCACAAGAUUUGGAUUUGAAUUUUGUUGCCGAUGAAAAAAAUGUCGUUUUAGAUAUUAUAUAAAUACUCCUUCCGUUUCUAAAUAUAAGCAAAUUUUACUUUUUAGGUUCAUUCAAU
rnacentral:lncRNA from 1 species